rnacentral:rRNA from 1 species
UACGAGGGGGGCAAAUGUUGUUCGGAAUCACUGGGCGUAAAGGGAGCGUAGGCGGGCUUCUAAGUUAGGUGUUUAAUCCCAGGGCCCAACCCUGGUCAGGCACCUAAAACUGGGAGUCUUGAAUAGUGGAGAGGACGAUGGAAUUGGGGGUGUAGCGGUGGAAUGCGUAGAGAUCCCCAAGAACACCAGUUGCGAAGGCGGUCGUCUGGACACAUAUUGACGCUGAGGCUCGAAAGCCAGGGGAGCAAACGGG